AAUAAACACGAAAGCGUACUCUUUGGAUUUACGGUGUAUGUUUGUCUAUCUUACCUUGAACGAUGAAGAAAAACCUUGGGCAGAUAAUUCUAGAGUGUGAUAUAGAAGACUGCGGACGGAAUUUCAUCCGGAAGAUUAUUGGCUGGACUAGGGAAGUCAGGAUCGGAAACGGAACCAACAACAAUCUACAAUUGGCGACGAGCGAGGGAACCAGUGAUUAUGAUGGAUGAAAGCCGACCUUUGUCCAUGUUCCGCUGUGAACAGAUUGAAAGUAGCAAAUUGGCAAAGGAGUGGAUGGAAUGGAAGCUUGCUCUUGAGUAUUAUUUCGAUUCGUAUCAAAUUACGGAUCAAAAGCUCAUGCGAUCGAAGAUGUUGCAUUUAGGGGGACCUCAACUUCAGAAAGUAUUUCGGAAUCUGGAAGGUACUGAAGAUUUUCCGAUGGUGCUGCUCGAGAAGCCGUGGUACAAUCACGCAGUAAACAAACUCGAUUCAUAUUUCAAGCCACGUCGUCAGAACGUAUUGGAGAGGCAUAAGCUACGAAACAUAAAACAAGGACAACAACUGUCAGAUUGUGGUUUGGAAAAACACAGUCGAGAAGUACGAUGUGUUUUGGAGGAGAUUAUGUUGACUGACGUCAUCAUUGAGGGAUGCACAUCACAAGAACUUCGUCGGAAAAUUUUAGAAAAAGAUCAGUCAGUAGCAGACAUUGAGGCCUUAGGUGAAUCCUUAGAAAGUGUGCGGAUACAGGAGAAGGAAAUGACCAGUAACUCAAGCUCUCAUGGUGACGCUGGAACAUUGGUAGUUCGAAAGGUACAAAGGUUCGUCAGUGGCAAGGCUGAACGAAAGCAAGAUCGAGUGAUUAACCGUUAUUUUGGUAAAACAUCUACGAACGGAAGUGGAAAUGAAUCGAGAACUCUCUGCUAUGCAUGUGGAAAAUUUGGACACAUCUCAAAGGCCGAAAAUUGCCCGGCAAAAGGUCAAAAAUGUCGUCGGUGUCAGAUUGUAGGACAUUUUGAGAAGGUUUGCCGUAAGCGGCACAUGCAACAUCAGCGUACAGACACUUCAAAGGUAAGAGCUAUUGAUGUUGAAGUCGAAGCUACAUCUCAUGAAAAGGAAGUCUCCGAUGAUUGCCCUGACAAGAAAGUGUACUACACCUUCCACACUGGAAAUAGAACAAAUGAAAUUAAGUGUCGCAUUGGAAGGGUACCUGUUGUUAUGUUCGUCGAUUCCGGUUCAGAUGUGAACUUGGUUACUGCCGAAUCAUGGGAGAUGUUGAAAGUGAGCAACGUAAUAAUACAUAAAUGUACGAAAGGAAGCAAGAAAAUCCUUAAGGCAUACGGUAGCAAUGAACCGCUAGAAAUUCUUGGGACUUUCGAGGCAACCGUGGAAGUAGAUGAGCGCCAUGUCGACGCGGAAUUCUUCGUUACAGCGAAGGGACAACGAAAUUUGCUUGGAGAUGCUACAUCUAAACAAUUAGGUGUCCUGAAAAUUGGGCUAGAGGUGAAGCAAGUGGUCAGUGGAAUUAACGCACCAUUUCAAAAAAUUAAAGGCGUUCUGGUGCACAUAGAAAUGGACCCAAAAGUCAACCCAAUUUAUCAACCACUGCGUAGAAUUCCAAUUGCCCAGGAGAACGCAGUCAACAGGAAGCUUGAUGAUUUGCUGGCACGAGGAGAAGAAAGGCCCUGCCACUUGGGUAUCCCCAUUAGUAGUCGCAAAUAAGGCUAACGGUGAAAUUCGGCUAUGCGUGGACUUACGUCGUGUUAAUCAAGCAGUGAUCAGAGAACGCCAUCCUAUGCCCAUUGUUGAAGAUGUUUUGGCUAAAAUAGGCAGAGGAAAUGUGUGGAGUACUCUGGAUAUAAAAGAUGCUUUUUUUCUAUUAGAGCUCGAUGAGAAGUCCAAAAACAUUAUGACUUUCAUCACGCACCGUGGACUCUAUCAAUUCAAGCGCCUUCCUUUUGGUUUGGUCUCUGCACCUGAGAUCUUCCAACGUACCAUGGACGGUAUCCUAGCGGAUUGUGAGGGCGCUUACUGGUAUCUCGAUGACGUAGGAGUAGAAGGAAAAACAAUCGAGGAACACGAUGCGCGAUUGGAUAAGGUACUGAAAAGACUGGCUCAACACGGUGUAGUUUUAAAUCAAGAGAAAUGUCAUUUUCGAGUAACUGAAUUUGAUUUCCUAGGAUAUCAUAUAAGCUCCACAG